rnacentral:rRNA from 1 species
UACGGAGGGUGCAAGCGUUAUCCGGAUUCACUGGGUUUAAAGGGUGCGUAGGUGGGCAGGUAAGUCAGUGGUGAAAUCUCCGAGCUUAACUCGGAAACUGCCGUUGAUACUAUUUGUCUUGAAUAUUGUGGAGGUAAGCGGAAUAUGUCAUGUAGCGGUGAAAUGCUUAGAUAUGACAUAGAACACCAAUUGCGAAGGCAGCUUACUACACAACGAUUGACGCUGAGGCACGAAAGCGCGGGGAUCAAACAGG